GACGAACGCUGGCGGCGUGCCUAAUACAUGCAAGUAGAACGCUGAAGGAGGAGCUUGCUCUUCUGGAUGAGUUGCGAACGGGUGAGUAACGCGUAGGUAACCUGCCUGGUAGCGGGGGAUAACUAUUGGAAACGAUAGCUAAUACCGCAUAACAGUAGAUGUUGCAUGACAUUUGCUUAAAAGGUGCAAUUGCACCACUACCAGAUGGACCUGCGUUGUAUUAGCUAGUUGGUGGGGUAACGGCUCACCAAGGCGACGAUACAUAGCCGACCUGAGAGGGGGGUCGGCCACACUGGGACUGAGACACGGCCCAGAAUCCUACGGGAGGCAGCAGGAGGGAAUCUUCGGCAAUGGACGGAAGUCUGACCGAGCAACGCCGCGUGAGUGAAGAAGGUUUUCGGAUCGUAAAGCUCUGUUGUAAGAGAAGAACGAGUGUGAGAGUGGAAAGUUCACACUGUGACGGUAUCUUACCAGAAAGGGACGGCUAACUACGUG
rnacentral:rRNA from 1 species